UACGAAGGGGGCUAGCGUUGCUCGGAAUCACUGGGCGUAAAGCGCACGUAGGCGGAUUGUUAAGUCAGGGGUGAAAUCCUGGAGCUCAACUCCAGAACUGCCUUUGAUACUGGCGAUCUUGAGUCCGGGAGAGGUGAGUGGAACUGCGAGUGUAGAGGUGAAAUUCGUAGAUAUCAAGCGGAACACCGGUGGCGAAGGCGGCCUUCUGGACGAUGACUGACGCUGAGACGCGAAAGCCAGGGGAGCAAACGGG
rnacentral:rRNA from 1 species